AAAUAUCAGGCUGGUUUUUCUUUUGAAGAACAAAAUUUAAUGAUACCAUAAUACUGAUGUGCGUAAACAAUAAGCUUUGUACUUUAUUCAGUCUGUAGAUACAUAGCAUUAAUUCAGUGGUAGUUUUGGUCCUAAAUGUGUUCUGGUACAUGACUACCUCCUGCUGUUGAGAGUUUGGA